AUUGAACGCUGGCGGCCAGCCUAACACAUGCAAGUCGAACGAGUGGCGGACGGGUGAGUAAUGUCUUGGACACUGCCUGCUGGAGGUGUAUCACUCCUUGACCCGGUAGCUACUCCCGCCUCCCCUCGGCUGUGCCCCGAUGGGAUUCGCUAGUAGGUGGGGUAAAGGCUCACCUAGGCGACGCUCCCUAGCUGGUCUGAGAGGAUGACCAGCCACACUGGAACUGAGACACGGUCCAGACUCCUACGGGAGGCAGCAGUGGGGAAUAUUGCACAAGGGGCGAAAGCCUGAUGCAGCCAUGCCGCGUGUAUGAAGAAGGCCUUCGGGUUGUAAAGUACUUUCAGCGGGGAGGCGGUACCCGCAGAAGAAGCACCGGCUAACUCCGUGCCAGAAGACGAGGUAAUUC
rnacentral:rRNA from 1 species